GCCAGAGCGGGCACCCAAUCAGAAGGCGAGACAUGGCUGCCGCCGUUUCCCGGCCGUGCCGGCAGGGGGCGGGUGCCUUGCGUCGCGUGCGCGGCUGUUAAACGGCGGCGCCAACGGCCCGGGGGGAGCUGUGGCGCAGAGCAGGGCGGAGGACAGAUUUAUGGCAUAUGACAUGAUGGAUCUGUGCUGGAAGCUGUCUGUCUGCUUUUUCUGCUAUCAAGUUGUCUCAGGAAGAGUUAAGGAGGAGGCACGUUACGUCGCUGCUGUGUACGAACAUGAGUCCAUCCUGAGUCCUAACCCAGCAGCCCUCAUUGAUCGACAGUCUGCACUGGAGCUCAUGGGCAGAAACCUGGACAUCUAUGAGCAGCAAGUAGUGGCUGCUGCAAGACAGGGGGCACAGAUCAUCGUUUUUCCUGAAGAUGGAAUCCAUGGCUUUAACUUCACAAGGAGAUCAGUUUAUCCUUACUUAGAUUUUGUUCCGCAUUCCGACUCUGUGAAGUGGAAUCCAUGCAGAGAGAAGUAUUUGUUCAAUGACACAGAGGUUCUUCAACGUCUGAGCUGCAUGGCACUGAAGAACAAAAUAUUCCUUGUGGCAAACUUAGGAACUAAGCAACCCUGUGAGCACGCUGACCCUCGCUGUCCAAGCGAUGGAAGAUACCAGUUCAAUACCAACGUGGUGUUCAGUGAUGCUGGUACGCUUGUAGCCACGUAUCGUAAACACAAUCUGUAUUUUGAAUAUGCUUUUGAUAGCCCUCCAGAGCCUGACUAUAAGCUCUUUGAUACCCCUUUUGCUGGCAAGUUUGGUAUGUUUACUUGCUUUGAUAUACUCUUCUUUGAGCCUGCAGUGAAUCUAAUCAGACAAUACAACGUAAAACAAAUUGUAUAUCCGACUGCCUGGAUGAACCAGCUCCCACUCCUGUCUGCUGUAGAGUUUCAACAAGCUUUUGCAACAGCUUUCAAUGUCAAUAUUUUAGCAGCUAAUAUCCACCACCCUACCUUGGGCAUGACAGGGAGUGGCAUAUACACUCCAGUCAAAUCAUUUAUCUACCACAACAUGGAAAGUUACGGUGGCAAGCUCAUAGUAGCAGAAAUUCCCGUGAUUAGCACAGAUUACAGAACCGAUUUGGAGCACAGUGAAAGAUUCAAAGAGAACGGAUAUCAUUCAUGCAAUACUUUUACAAGCAGCUCAGUGGAUGACCAAGUUUGCUUUAUGGAAGGACAAGAGGCCCCUGGCAAAGUAUCAGAGAAAGGAAGUGAACAGUUACCUCCCCUCUUCUAUGCAGAAAUGAUGUAUGACAAUUUUACUUUUGUUCCUGUAUGGGCGGAAAAAGGAGAACUUCAGGUUUGUGCCAAUACUCUUUGUUGCUACUUAAAUUAUAAGAGAGAUGUUUUAACUGAUGAAUUAUAUGCUUUAGGAGUUUUUGAUGGGCUCCAUACAGUGAAUGGCAUAUACUACGUCCAGGCCUGUGCAUUAGUAAAAUGUGGAGGUCUCAGCUUUAGCACUUGCGGACAGGAGGUUACAGAUGCCACUGCUCUGAUAGAUUUCCAGCUAUGGGGAAAUAUGAGUACUCCUUAUAUCUUUCCUUUACUGCUAACAUCUGGCGUUACCUUGGAAUUUGCUGAUCACAUGGGCUGGAAAAACAACCACUAUUUCCUAAGCAAAAAUAGAACUUCUAACGGCCUACUGACAGCUGCUCUGUAUGGACGAUGGUAUGAAAAGGACUAGCACAGAUAUGUAACUGAAUCAGAAAACUGCUCAGAUUUUCAGUGUAUAUCUUAACAUGAACUGUUGAACAUCUGUACUUCAGCAUCUUCAGGUGCUAAAUCUGUUGUCCUAGUUGCUGUGAGGAACUGUGGAGAUGUGCAAUUCUCAGUUUAGUUGGCUGAGGCAGUUCCAAGAUGCAUUCAAACUCAAAGAACUGUGGCAAUGAGUACAUUAUACUGCUCAAUAAUCUGCUUUGGACAAAUUCACUUUCAGGCUUCAUAAAGGAAAAUAGUCAUACCAUUUACUCAAAGUGUGAGAAGCCUUUAGCAAAGCUAAAGGUCACACGGGCAGAAGAAACAUACCAUAACCCAGACCAUCAUUUCCCUUCUAUGGAUAUAAACAGUUUUAAUAAAGCUUCCUAAAUGGUUUCUGUCUCUGAGGGCAAUCAAAGCAGGAAACACGGACCUUCUACCAUACAAGAAGUACAGCUUAAGCCAAGAACAGCUUUAAAUCAGUGGAUUGAUUUAAAUGCAGUCAGACUGUGGAAGAUGUUUGUACUGAGACAAAGAAACAAGCUGAGAAGGAGCAGGGCACCCUGUCUUUGAGACAGCUUGAUACUGCUGAUGGGGAGGAAUAUCAGAAAAGCCCCAUCUAGCUAGGAGUAACAGCACACAAGUCAGAGGUAUUAGAGGUUUCUUAUAAGGGAUCUGCUGCUGAGUUAUCCAAGUAAUUGUGGGGAUACUCUGAAUAUGUUGAAAGUAACUGCCAGAAAAUACAGCAAAGGAACAUCACAAACAGGACUUCAGAGUUCAGUUCUUGAGAAGCACGUGAAGAGGCUCAGAAUCUCAAACUGGAAAUGGAGUGGGACAAGCAGUUCAGAACAAAGAUCUUCAAAACACAAAGUUGGUGCAAGCUUGUGUACGUAGAUCUUUACAGGGAGAUGACUAGAUUGAAGUGACUGAGCAGCAAGAGCCUUCUGCAACCGCCAAGGAACUGAGGUGUCAGCCUUGUGAGGCAUGGCCUAGCCUUGCGCAGGCUGUGGCCUGUCUUACAGCAUUAAUUAGCACCCUAGCAUCACAGAAAUCCCAAGAGGAGCACCCCAGUACAUUGACCACUCUCUUUGGCUGCUUUGGACUUACCAGCUAAACUGAAAAGAACCAAACGAUAAUUCAGAACUUCAAGAGAACCUGAACAGCGACUCAAAGACACACACAGAUUCAGUGGCUAGAACGAACUAAUGCCCACCUCCACUUACGCAUAUUAACAAAAGCAACAAAACAUUACUAAUCACAAAUAAUCAGAGGUCGAAGUGAGAGUUUUUGCUGAGUCAGGUUUCUAGUGGUCACUAGUGACAGGAGUAUUUCAGAUGCUCAUUGUGCCCACCUUCCUCCUGCAGCUGGGACAACAGCACAGGGCAGAAGCCACAGCCAACCAUUAGUGGUACCCACAGCAGAUCAAGUUCUUAGCAGAAGGGAUUAGAAAAGUUGAAUUUGGUAAGAAGUUAAUAAAUUUUAAGAAAGAUCUUAAAGAUUUAAAUAAAACCACGGAGGGAGCUUGAAUAACAAAGUUUGGCAGGGGAGAGGAGAUACAUAAGAGGGUAGGAAAUGAAACCUUACAUUUUGCUUUAUAACUGUUACAGUGUCUGAGGCUGAGACAUCAGUAUCUUUCUGCGCUGUGAUGCCGUGAGAAGAAAACUUGCACGGCUGUCAUUGAAAAGGCUUGGAAGUGAGGGCUUGUUUUGUUCUGUUGUGAAUUCAGAUAGCUAAAUUUCUGAUUACUGCUUCUGCGAUUUUAAUGUAGAAGAGAAUGCAUGGUGUUUUUAAAUGUUUAAUGAUAUUAAUAAUGUUAAGACAGCUUGAAAGACUCUUCAGGUUCCAUAUUAUUCAACCAUGUUUACAGUUACAUGGUGAAACACUGCAAGACUCCUUUCCCAGCCUCAGCUUGAAAAUUGUAAGAAUGCAGUACGGAAGAUAGGGAGCUCAGUUUACGAUGAUAUGUAGCAAUUGUGGAAGCAUUGAUAAUUUAGAUACUGCUUCAUUUGAAGAGAAAUAUCAAUGAUAAGAGAGCGGGAUGUCAGGCUGGAAAGAGUUCCAUCAGGUGGGAGAUGAGGAGAAAGAAGGAAAACAAAAACAUGUUGCAGUUCGGGGAUGUUAGUCGAGGCUAACUUUGUUACUCAGGGAAAAAAAAACAGAACAUUUUGCUGAGCUUCAGCUG